CCGAUGGCGGGGGGUAACUACUGGAAACGGUAGCUAAUACCGCAUAACGUCGCAAGACCAAAGAGGGGGACCUUGGGCCUCUUGCCAUCGGAUGUGCCCAGAUGGGAUUAGCUAGUAGGUGGGGUAACGGCUCACCUAGGCGACGAUCCCUAGCUGGUCUGAGAGGAUGACCAGCCACACUGGAACUGAGACACGGUCCAG
rnacentral:rRNA from 1 species